rnacentral:rRNA from 1 species
CCUACGGGUGGCAGCAGUGGGGAAUAUUGGGCAAUGGGCGCAAGCCUGAACCAGCAACGCCGCGUGAAGGAAGAAGGCAUUCGGGUUGUAAACUUCUUUUGUCAGGGACGAAGCAAGUGACGGUACCUGACGAAUAAGCCACGGCUAACUACGUGCCAGCAGCCGCGGGAAUACGUAGGUGGCAAGCGUUAUCCGGAUUUACUGGGUGUAAAGGGGGUGUAGGCGGGACUGCAAGUCAGGUGGGAAAACCACGGGCGCAACCUGUGGCCUGCAUUUGAAACUGUAGUUCUUGAGUACUGGAGAGGCAGACGGAAUGCCUGGUGUAGUGGUGAAAUGCGUAGAUAUUAGGAGGAACACCAGUGGCGAAGGCAGAUUGCCGGACAGUAACUGACGCUGAGGCGCGAAAGCGUGGGGAGCGAACAGGAUUAGAUACCCUGGUAGUC